rnacentral:rRNA from 1 species
AUGAACGCUAGCUACAGGCUUAACACAUGCAAGUCGAGGGGCAGCAUGAACUUAGCUUGCUAAGUUUGAUGGCGACCGGCGCACGGGUGAGUAACACGUAUCCAACCUGCCGAUGACUCGGGGAUAGCCUUUCGAAAGAAAGAUUAAUACCCGAUGGCAUAGUUCUUCCGCAUGGUAGAACUAUUAAAGAAUUUCGGUCAUCGAUGGGGAUGCGUUCCAUUAGGUUGUUGGCGGGGUAACGGCCCACCAAGCCUUCGAUGGAUAGGGGUUCUGAGAGGAAGGUCCCCCACAUUGGAACUGAGACACGGUCCAAACUCCUACGGGAGGCAGCAGUGAGGAAUAUUGGUCAAUGGACGAGAGUCUGAACCAGCCAAGUAGCGUGAAGGAUGACUGCCCUAUGGGUUGUAAACUUCUUUUAUACGGGAAUAAAGUGAGGCACGUGUGCCUUUUUGUAUGUACCGUAUGAAUAAGGAUCGGCUAACUCCGUGCCAGCAGCCGCGGUAAUACGGAGGAUCCGAGCGUUAUCCGGAUUUAUUGGGUUUAAAGGGAGCGUAGGCGGACGCUUAAGUCAGUUGUGAAAGUUUGCGGCUCAACCGUAAAAUUGCAGUUGAUACUGGGUGUCUUGAGUACAGUAGAGGCAGGCGGAAUUCGUGGUGUAGCGGUGAAAUGCUUAGAUAUCACGAAGAACUCCGAUUGCGAAGGCAGCCUGCUGGACUGUAACUGACGCUGAUGCUCGAAAGUGUGGGUAUCAAACAGGAUUAGAUACCCUGGUAGUCCACACAGUAAACGAUGAAUACUCGCUGUUUGCGAUAUACAGUAAGCGGCCAAGCGAAAGCGUUAAGUAUUCCACCUGGGGAGUACGCCGGCAACGGUGAAACUCAAAGGAAUUGACGGGGGCCCGCACAAGCAGCGGAGCAUGUGGUUUAAUUCGAAGCAACGCGAAGAACCUUACCAGGUCUUGACAUCCAUUAAAAGCCAUAGAGAUAUGGUGUGAGCUUGCUCGUAAUGAGACAGGUGGUGCAUGGUUGUCGUCAGCUCGUGCCGUGAGGUGUCGGCUUAAGUGCCAUAACGAGCGCAACCCUUAUCGAUAGUUACCAUCAGGUUAUGCUGGGGACUCUGUCGAGACUGCCGUCGUAAGAUGUGAGGAAGGUGGGGAUGACGUCAAAUCAGCACGGCCCUUACGUCCGGGGCUACACACGUGUUACAAUGGGGGGUACAGAAGGCAGCUACACGGCGACGUGAUGCUAAUCCCGAAAGCCUCUCUCAGUUCGGAUUGGAGUCUGCAACCCGACUCCAUGAAGCUGGAUUCGCUAGUAAUCGCGCAUCAGCCACGGCGCGGUGAAUACGUUCCCGGGCCUUGUACACACCGCCCGUCAAGCCAUGAAAGCCGGGGGUACCUGAAGUGCGUAACCGCAAGGAGCGCCCUAGGGUAAAACUGGUGAUUGGGGCU